GAUUGUCUUAAGUGGCUAGUUUUGCCACACUGCUAUAGGGUAGUUAUAGUGAUAUAUGGUAUUACAGGGGUAAUAUAAUACUAACAAUGGGUAUCACAGGGGUAAGUAUAAUACUGAUGUAUGGUAAUUAUAGGGUAUUACUGGGGUAAGUAUAAUACUGAUACAUGUUAAUUAUAGGCUAUUACGGGGGUAAUUUAAUACUUACAAUGGGUAUCACAGGGGUAAUGUAAUACUGAUACAUGGUAAUUAUAGGGUAUUAC